rnacentral:rRNA from 1 species
UACGUAGGGGGCGAGCGUUGUCCGGAGUUACUGGGCGUAAAGAGCGCGUAGGCGGGCUCUUAAGUGAGGGGUGAAAGGUUCGGGCUCAACCCGGACAGUGCCUUUCAUACUGGGAGCCUUGAGUGCGGGAGAGGCAAGUGGAAUGGUCGGUGUAGCGGUGAAAUGCGUAGAUAUCGAUCGGAACACCCGUGGCGAAGGCGGCUUGCUGGCUCGUAACUGACGCUGAGGAGCGAAAGCGUGGGGAGCGAACAGG